rnacentral:rRNA from 1 species
CAGUAGCCGCGGUAAAACGUAGGGUGCAAGCGUUAUCCGGAAUUAUUGGGCGUAAAGAGCUCGUAGGCGGUUUGUCGCGUCUGCUGUGAAAACUGGAGGCUCAACCUCCAGCCUGCAGUGGGUACGGGCAGACUAGAGUGCGGUAGGGGAGAUUGGAAUUCCUGGUGUAGCGGUGGAAUGCGCAGAUAUCAGGAGGAACACCGAUGGCGAAGGCAGAUCUCUGGGCCGUAACUGACGCUGAGGAGCGAAAGCGUGGGGAGCGAACAGGAUUAGAUACCCCCGUAGUCCCUGUCUCUUAUAC